CUCCUGACGCACAUUCUGCUGGUGGGAGGGGAACUAAGGACCCGAGCCCACUGGUGACGUUUCCUUCACGUGAUCAGAAGCCGACGUGUGCAGAAGUCCCUCUCCUCCAGGUCUUCUGGUCUGUGGUUGUGGGCACCAACCCAGACAAGAAGAGGAAAGACCUGCAGGAUCAGUACAGGC
rnacentral:lncRNA from 1 species